CCCCUAGAUGUUCUGGGCCGCACGCGCGCUACACUGAACAGUUCAACAAGUCUUAACCUUGGCCGAUAGGUCUGGGUAAUCUUUGAACGCUGUUCGUGAUUGGGAUAGACCUUUGCAAUUAUGGGUCUUCAACGAGGAAUUCCUAGUAAACGCAAGUCAUCAGCUUGCAUUGAUUACGUCCCUGCCCUUUGUACACACCGUCCGUCGCACCUACCGAUUGAAUGGUCCGGUGAAAUCUCGGGACGGCGGCUUGGUCGCUUGCGUCCGACUGCUGAAACUUGAUUAAACCAUAUCAUUUAGAGGAAGGUGAAGUCGUAAC
rnacentral:rRNA from 1 species